AGAGUUUGAUCAUGGCUCAGAAUGAACGUUGGCGGCGUGGAUUAGGCAUGCAAGUCGUACGCUUUAUGUAGCAAUACAUGAAGAGUGGCGUAAGGGAGAGUAAUGCAUGGUUAGCUACCCUGGGGACUGGGAUAGCGGCGGGAAACUGCCGGUAAUACCAGAUGAUAUCUUCGGAUCAAACGUGUAAAUCGGCCCUAGGAGGUGACCAUGUCCUAUCAGCUAGUUGGCGGUGUAACGGACCACCAAGGCGAAGACGGGUAUGGGGCGUGAGAGCGUGCCCCCACUCACUGGGACUGAGACACUGCCCAGACACCUACGGGUGGCUGCAGUCGAGAAUCUUCGGCAAUGGGCGCAAGCCUGACCGAGCGACGCCGCGUGCGGGAUGAAGGCCUUCGGGUUGUAAGCCGCUGUCGUAGGGGAGGAAGGUUUGGUGUAUAGCCAAGCUUGACCGAUCCUAAGAGGAAGGGCCGGCUAAUCUCGUGCCAGCCGCCGCGGUAAUAC
rnacentral:rRNA from 1 species